GCCCUGCUUUUGAUUCGUUUGAAUUCGUUUAUCCAUGUUUUUGUAUGUCUGGCAUCAGAAAUGAAGCCCCGCCUCCUGGUCAUCAGCACACAUCGCUGGUCCGCACAUCAAAGCAGCGAGUGGGGGCCUUCGACGAGGCCCCCAACUGGCAACGCAAGACAAACGGGUCCAAACAAAUCGUUUAGAAAUGUAGGGAACUGGUAUGAAUAUCUAUGUAAAUCCACACAGAACGUCCCCGAAUAUCAGCCGUUCAGAGCCGCUCGGACUCGCUGUGUUAGCGUAGCAUUCGCCUCUGGGGCCCGGGGGGGAGGGGAGGGGCUCUCGCCUCGCUCUACAUACACUCUGGUUAAAAACUCCUCCAUGAUCUUAAUGCAAAAAGAAAACAGAUUCAUUUUGUUGCUGCAGCUUCAAUCAAUUUCUCCUCCGGUCCGGAAACAGUUGCUGACGAACCUGAGGGCAGAUUUAAAUUGGUAAUGUUGUUUAGCUGGCAAUCAAUCAUUCGCGAGUAGAAACCAAGGCCAAUCUGCGAGGUUUGAUCUUUCCUGCCCCCCCUCGUCCCCCCUCACCCCCCCCCCCAGCGAGACAUCGCGCAGCAUCAUUCACUGCUGGGCAUAAACAGUGCGAGUCGGGCUUCAGCAGCAGAUUACAUUGGCUCCUGUUUGCUCGGAGCACAGAUGGGAAUGUUUUCAGUAGCGUGUUUGAGGAGCCCCCCCCUCAACCACCCCCCGGUCACAUGAUUCCAGUUGACUAUUUGGGCCUCAUAUGUAAACAUAAGAUGCAUUACUGUAUUUACACACUUUGCGCCGAAGUUAAAGCUGCAGCGCUGCAGGGAUGAUGGAGUCCAACAGGAAGUUAACUGGUUCCAUCCCACAGAAAGCAGAUUGGAUCUGAGAUUACUGAAGAAGAUAAUCUCUGUUAUGAUAUUCAUACGUAUGCUUCAUCAACACAAUUAUCAAUGAUGAACUCCACCACGUCACAUGACCACAGUCACAUGACAUCACGUUAGGCUUUAAGGGAUCUCCACCACGGUCACAUGACCACAGUCACAUGACAUCACGUUAGGCUUUAAGGGAUCUCCACCCCGGUCACAUGACCACAGUCACAUGACAUCACGUUAGGCUUUAAGGGAUCUCCACCACGUCACAUGACCAGGGUCACAUGACAUCACGUUAGGCUUUAAGGGAUCUCCACAACGGUCACAUGACCAGGGUCACAUGACAUCACGUUAGGCUUUAAGGGUUCUCCACCACGUCACAUGACCAGGGUCACAUGACAUCACGUUAGGCUUUAAGGGAUCUCCACCACGGUCACAUGACCAGGGUCACAUGACAUCACGUUAGGCUUUAAGGGAUCUCCACCCCGGUCACAUGACCAGGGUCACAUGACACUACAUCAACGAUUGUAGACUCAUUUCCUGGUUUUAGGAUUUAUUCAACCUUAAAAACUUGUGACGCUGCUCGGAAUGAGGUCACACACAAAGGUUAUUGUUUUUUUAAACGGAUAUAAAUCUAAUCUCCCCAAGAGGACAUUCGGUGCUCCGUGCAAAAACAACAACAAACAGAAUUAAAUCUGCAUUGAUCUCAUCACAGACAAACCUCUGUUCUUUUUCAUGUCUGAUGACUCACAUUGAAGAACGUGACAGUCACCUGCAUCUGAUGAAGGACGCGUUGUGCUCCAUCAGUUCCAGGAGACUUGUGGGCACGGGACGUCUCGUACUAGCCGGGUCCCCCACACGACAAAGUGAAUGGACCGAGGCAGCACGGCACCUUCUUCACUGGACAAAGUGUUGCUCAAUGACACACACACGGGUAAUUUACAUCUCAGUAUAUCGCUCUACUCUACCAUCGACCCCCCCUGCUGAGUCACAGUCACAGGCGAGUAAUUACCCCACUACCGCUAUUCAUCCACCCUCUACUGUUCCUCCACCCAACCCUCCAUUCAUCCAUUCGUCUUCCAUCCAUUAAUCCACCCACCAACCCUCUCUCUGUUCAUCCACCUUUCAUCCAUUCAUUCAUUCUCCAUCCUCUCACUCUCCCUCCACCUCCAUCCAUUCGUCCACCAAAACAUCCCUCAUCCAUCCACCCUCUCUCCAUCCAUCUGCUCUCCAUCCGUUCAUUCACUCUCCACUCAUUCAUCCACCCACUUAUCCUGCAUCCGCAAACUCCAUCUCUUUUCUCUCUGCAGUGACCGUAUUCGUUUCAUUUCGCUUACUGAGUCGCAGACUUUCCCGUCAGAACAGAAACCAGACUGUUCAUCGCUUUUAUCCGUGUGCAUUAGUGUGUGUGUGUGUCCUGUGUGUUCGUUUGUGUGUCUGUGUGUGUGUCUGUGUGUGUGUGUGUGUGUGUGUGUGAUCCUCCAGGCCUUCUUAUCCCCACACAGCUGAAACCUCUGAAGUGGUCAUUUGUGUGUCUGUGUGCGUGCACGGACUGUUCACCUGAGGGAACUGAGAUUCAUUCAGAACAUUUUGUUUAAAGGUGAAGCCUAAAAAUAAACUAAUGUUUCUUUGGGAAGUUCAGCGAGAGACAGCGAGGACUUUGGACAGGAAGUGGACGCGGUCGUAGCGACGUAACCUGUCGGUUUGUGGACGUUUUGCUUGAGUUUGGAGUUUCAUUUUGUAACCAGCAGACAUUUCACCAUUUAUUGUUGGGAACGUUUGAAUCACAUAUGUUCAUCCAAAAGCUUCCACUCAGCUUAUCACUAAGUCCCGCCCCUAGAAUCCCAGCUGGCCAAUCAGGUAGCUUCGUCAUCGACGCUGUGUUCAGGCGGGUUUGGUGGAUUUGGAGUUUGUCGUGGUCCAACCACGUCAUCACAUUGUUCCUUUUAUCAAAUGUAAGCGUGUUAUUAAAUAAAUCCAGAAGAACUUUAUAAAUUAAUAAAUAAAUUAUUUUAUUUCCUUCAAAUAAUUCAUUUCUAACAACAUUUAGAAAGACAUUAGUAGUUCUAAUCAUGUAUUAUUACAGCUGAGGGUUUGUGGGAGUAGAAACGACAUCACUAAUAUCUAUUUUAUGUUGAUGUGAAAACGUCAAGCAACAAGAUUUAUUCAAAUUUCAGAAAUGACAUGAUUGCAUUUGAACCCAUCAUGAUAACGAUGUCAUUUCCCCGUCCCCCUGAAACCCAUUGUUACAGAUCGGAGCGUGUCUCAAUGUGGCCUCCGUACAUUCGUACCCAUUGCACGCUGAGUUAGCGCUCGGUCUUAGCGUUAGCGCUCCUGUGCUACGCCAGCGCCUGAAGGUGCAGGUCUGCCUGGAUUGAGGUGAUUUGUCGGUUUACUGUAAAUGCAAACUUGUGAUUUAGUUUAUCCAAGAUGAGAUGAUGAUUACUCUGUGUGUGCAGUCGGUGACAGUGUGGUCUCCAUGGUGACGGAGCUCUGACGGCUCCAGAAGAUAGUUUUUGUUCAGGAUUCCGGUGUGUGAAAGCGGGCGAGCAGGUGGGAGCAGCACACGUGUACAGUUAGUGGAGAUAAAGCGCGUAGAUGUAUCCGGUGCAGCUAAUUGAUUCCUUAUCAGGAUUUUAUCAGAUCGCUAUUUGACACUUUUUUUCAUCUCCCAUCUCGAGGCUCAGACGGCGUUCGGCACCUAAUAUUCAGAACGCUUCAUACUCAUUGCAGACUUUUGUCAGCCUCAGAGGAUGAGAAAGUGAUUCCAGACCAGAGCAGAAUGUAGACCGACUUCCUCGGUCCUGACCUUCUGUCAACCACAUAACCCCAUAACAGGCAAAUAAAGCUAUGUAGUACAACGGGAAGAAGAUACUUUGUGAAGAAUUCCUUUUGGCACCUUUAUGGUCUGUUUGACUCUAAAUGGAUCAUCAGUCACUAAAUGAACAUCAUGUUGUGCUGAAGAAGACUUGAAACUAGAGACUGAGACUAUAAACUCAUGUUUACAAUGUUUACUGAGGGAAUAAAUCAAGAGAGAAGUAGAGUCAUUUCCUCAUAGACGUCUAUGGGAGCAGAGGAGUCGCCCCCUGCUGGUCACUACAGAGAAGUAGAGUCAUUUCCUCAUA
ensembl:lncRNA